rnacentral:tRNA from 1 species
UCUACCCUCCCUAAGACU